UCGGCCGGGUUUAGAAUAACCCAAAGCUCCGCGAGUCGUUCGGUCCAUUCGCGAGUUCGAUCUCGAGUCGUCCGUUUCUUCGAGAGCGAGAACAGUCAAGAGGACAAGAGUUUUCCUUUUAUUUCGACGAUGGAGAUCGCCAAAGUGAACGAGAACGCGGGCAGUCUCGUGGAGCAGUCGAUGAACAUCACAGCGGAAUCAAAAUCCGUGGCGACGAUGAAAUCCGUGGAGAGCGUGCAAACGAAAUCCGUAGUCGAGUCGUCGACGUCGAUCAAAUCCGUGACUUCGUCCUCGACCAGGUCGCAUCAAUCGAUGGAGUACGAGGAGACGAUCGAGUACAACGACUAAUCGAUCCACCACGAAAUCCACGCCGAAUCCAAGUCCACAAAAUACGAUCCUUUUCUUUUUUUUUUUUUUUUUUUUUUUGGCAUCGAAAUCGCACAGGGGAGAGUCGAGACGCGAUAGAGUCGACUCGAGCGCCUUGCUGAUCUGAAAAUCUGCCGCUCGAACGCUUCGAGUUUUCGAGGAUUCGAGACUGGAAUAGCCGAGAGUGUGGAAACGUGUGGUUUGGUUCCUGUCAGUUCCUGCUUCUGAUUCAAAGGGAAAUGCGGUUAGAAAGCGGGUGGAAACUCUGCUCGCGCGUUCCGCAUGUUGAUUCGCAUGGAGGAGUUGGGAAGGAAGAAGUUGCGUCACGGAAAGGUGAACGUUCGAGGAAUAUUUUUGGAGAAUAAUGGAGGAAAGAUACGUCGAGUCGAGUCACGGAAUGACCGAUCGACGGGGUCAAAGUGUGGAUGGGACGACGGGUUUCAGAAAUAACCCUUCCCUUCUUGAGUUGCUACGAUAAUGAAAAAAAAAAAAAAGAAAGAAAAAAAAAGAAGAAGAAGAAGAAGAAGAAGAAGAGGAAAAGGAAGGAACGCGAGCUCUGGCUCUCCUCCAAUCGGCGUGGUUCAUCGCCAAAUAACGACUCGCCCCAUCCUUUUCUCCCUUCCUCAAGGAUCCUCCAUGAAGGUCCUCCAUCCCCCUGAUCCUCUUUUAAAUGCCUGUUUAAGCCUCUACAUCAUUGUCACGUCUCGCGAUCCCACACUUCAUUGUGAACUUUCGGUUAUCUUUGUAUAAUAAAAUUUCUAAGAUAUUGUUCUCUGGGUUCGUUCAAUCUCUCUUAUCCUUCCCCAUUGUCGAGCCGCAGAAUAGCAACGUGAUUGCGGCUCGUUACUCGAAUGAUUUAAAGAGCAAAAGACAAAAGGAGGAAAUAUUGUUGAAAAUUCGUUUAACGAUUUCGUUCUUUUUCUCAAAUUCUUCUUUCUUCUUCUUCUUCUUCUUUCAAGUUUAAACUUGACGAUCGAUCGUUGAAUCAUACUACAAUGAUUUCGUCAAAUGAUACUCGCGUCACUCUUAACCUUUGCCUUGCCACGCUUCGAUCAGGAAAAAAAAUGUCAUCGUUCCUAGUCGUAACGAAAGUCAGGGACGACCGAUAAUUCAAGCUGCGGUUCCCGAUUCGAGAUCCAAUUAAACUAUGUGAAAUGAAAACCGUGAAAAGGGACAAACGAUUUUCCUUUACGAUCCAUUUACGAUCCAUCGGUCUCUUCGUCGCGAGAAACAAUCAAAAAUUUGAUCGAAUCGAAAAUAGAACGCUUCAACCACGAAAUAGUGAAUUCGCCAAAUUCUUUUAACCGAUAGAAGAUACUUUCGUUGGAACGUAUUUGCAUAUUGCUGAGAGAUGAACAGCAAGAUUUUUCACGUCUCCUCGCGAAGAAAUAAAGUUGUUGUUGAUCCAGUCUCGCGAGCAAAGGAAUAGAUUGCCGCUCACCUAUAGGAGCGAAUAAAUUGUAUGGAAGAUCGAGAGGAACAGAGGAGGGUUUAUUAAGCGAGAAGUGGAGGGGGAGAGGACAGAUAUGGAGAUUUAUAAAUGGUGAUUUUUUUCAGAGGUGAGAAAGGAAAGAGGGUGAAGGAAUCUCUCUCUUUAAAGAAACGAGACGGAAGGUAAGAAGAUGAAGGGAUUAAUUACCUGCUACUGUUGACCGAAGUAUUGCUCCUGCUGCGCCUCGAGAUAAUCGAAUCUCCACGAUUAACGACGCCUUUAUGGGUGAUGCUGAAUGCCCGCAAUCUGUACAGAUCCUCCCCCGCUCUCGGAUUGUACGCUUUCUCCGGCAGGCUGUGCACUCGUGGCCUGAUGUGAUCCGGCACUGAAACGUAUCGAUGGACGGUUAAUUAAAACCAACCUAUUAGUUCAAAUAGGGCAACAGAUAUAAACAGGGAUACCCGUGAUCCUGCAUUCAAAGGGUCUCUCCGAAACGCGACAGCGUCGAAGCAUCAUCGGAUCUCCGCCUUUAUAACUUGACCACAGCCGUCUUAUGCAUGCAUUAAAUCUCUCAAAUCUCCAUGGAAUAAAUUACGACAAUUCAAGGAAGCGUAGAACGAUUCCCAAAUUAAAUUGUCCCCUUCGUAUUGAUUAUAUUCAGGAUUCGAAAUUCGUCCAAGUCGUUCGAAACGAAGUAUGGCGGCAAAGAAAAAUGCAAAGAUGGACGAUUUCUCUCCAAUCCAAUUUUCUCCAAUAUUCCAAUUUUCUUGCGUUCGACGAGCGACACUUCGUUCGUUAACACAGAGGGACGCAGAAGUUUGAGAGAUCGAAAUGGAGCAAGGGUCCGCGUAGCGUGGCGCAUCGACAAAGGUUGGCUCCAUCAUUUAAUGCGGUUACAACUCGACGAGGCACUCAAGAAGUUCGUCUCCCGGACCGAGUAGCUAAUUACGAAAACGAGGGCGGGUGUAACUUCGCCUCGACGAAAUUAACGGCGAAUUUUCGUCGAUUCCGUGGGAAAUUUCAAUGCCAGGGACCGGACUUGGACGGAACAGAAACGUCCUUCGAUUAAUUAGGCGCGAGUUGAGUCCGAUUUUUCUUUCGCCGAGGAUCUCGAGCAAAACUUUGGCAAAUCGAGAUGUCGAAAUGUCGAGAUAAAUAAGAUGAGAAGGGAAGAUGGAGGAAGAUGGAUAAAUCGUAGUUCGCGCACAAUUUAAUUAUCCGCACGCAAUUUAAUUUUAACGAAAAACACUCGGUGGUUGGGUCGCUCUCGAAGAAACAGCGAUGGUGAAUAAUUAAAUGGAUAUGAGAAUGAUAAAUGAAAGGAGGGAUUUUGAGACGUUGGAUGCAACGUGUCUGACCUGACCCAUCUUAUUCCACUUUCUUUACUCUUCCAACGAGAUGCAAGGUAUAUGUGUGUUGAAGUUGACUUUGAACAUUGUAAACGAAAAGAGAUGCCUGAAACGAA